GGCAGUGUGGUUCAACAAAUGUUCACUUUAUCUUUAAUGCAAAUCAGAAACGUACAGUGUGAGCUGCACAUCAGUUCUUAUCUUUAUCCCUGUGUAGGAAGGAAUCUUAUUUUUUAAUGUUUUAUUCAUCAUUUCAGAACCUGUAAAGCUGAGCUGCAUCACCAUCCUAAAAGCACUUUGUAAAAAGACCUAGCAUGAUGAACGCUCUUUUUAACAUAUUUGUAUAUCUAAUGAUGAUAACAGUUGCCUGUCUUGGUAAAACUGUUCUCCAGACGCCUGGUGAUAUAUUAAAGAAACAAGAUGAAUCUGCUGUGAUCACUUGUACUCACAACAUACAGAGCUAUGAUCGAAUACUGUGGUACAAACAAAGUCAGGAUAUGUUGGGCUUCGAGUUGAUGGGAAACCUUUUUUAUGAGGAUGGGACUAAAGAGCCUGGAUUUGAAAAGAACAUCAAAUUGGAAGGAGAUGGAAGAAAUAAAGGCAUUUUGACUAUCAGCAACCUCACGCUGACUGACAGUGCAGUGUAUUUCUGUGCAGCAUAUUACACAGUGCUCAGAACCACCUCAGUCUGA